AACCCUCCACCGCCUUGGUUCGCCUUGGCGCCGUGACAACUAUGGUCCUCUCCUCUUUAAUAAUUGCAAUUCCCUACAUCAGACUCAAGCUAGGAUGUGGGUCUGAAAGGUGAAACUCGUUUCAGUUGUCUAGACCAGAAUCUCUGGCUGUGAGCUGAAGUAAACCAAAACAAAGUCGAUUAGACAUGACAGAAGGAUGAAAUUACCAAUCAUGGUAAAUAGUUUCACGAAAUGUGUCAGUUUUGUAGGCUAUCGAAAUGAAAUGGCUUCUGAUACUCAAAAUUGUCAAUACUUCGACCAAAAUUUCGGCAAACACUGAAAUUUUGGUCUUAUGUACAGUUUCGCCAUGUGGUGAUCUGCAUAAACAACAUUUUGUUUAGUUGUCUUUGACCACGAUAGAGGGAGUGUCCCUAUUGUGGUGUGUAUUAAGUUGUGGAGUUUGUUUUUAUGGUUUAGGGAAAAGGAUGAGCAUGCUAGCGAGUUACCUAGGAAUAAGAUAUGCUAGCGCUUGUUGACCGUUAGAUGGAACAUUAGCAAUCUCAUCCAUUAAUACUUAUUAUCUAACAUAACCUGCCCACCAUUGGCACUCUACAAUCUCUUUUCUUCUUCUCCGCAUCUGUCUCCAUCUAUGUCUCCGUCUCCGGCUCCUACUCCCUCCCUUUGUCAUCCUCUUCACAGAAUCACUGCAACCCACCUCUGCGUCUCCUUCUCCCUCUCCUACUCCCACCCCUUAUCCAUCAUUCACCCCAACCCUCUUCCCUCCACUGCGAACAGGUUAUAUAGUAUAGCAAAAAAUUGAUCAAAAGUCGGAACCACACGGUUAAAGAAAGGAACAAAAGAGAAAAACCAUUUCUGAACCCACUUUCAUUGAUACUUAACGCACAGCCACACGACUGGAGAAACAAAUUUUACAUGGUUUCAUAAGAUAUAUCAGCUAUUGUAGUGUACUCCUAAUAUUACUCCAAGUGAUUGUUAUUCAUGCCUGAGAAAUUCUAUUAAUCAAAUGGCCAUUGUGUUCAAAGAGAGUUCAGGUUUGGGUGCUUAUUUUCUCAAUUCUUUUGCAAGGUAUGGUGAUCAUGCUUUCUAUAAACUGAAUUCCGCUGCGUCAGCGCUUCCCUCAAUCAAUUUUUAUACUGCCUGGGAUGUAAUUGCAAAGCAUGUACUGGACUACACUGUAGAUCCAGUUCUUGCACUUAGCAACCGACACUGACUGCUGAAGGAGAAAAGAAUUGCGGGGACUGAGGUGGAAAAGUUGCUUGGUAUCUUCUCCUCAAGUUAUUGUCCACUCAGGUAUCAGGAAGUUUUGGAAUUUUUAUGAUCUUUAGAGAUGAAAAGAUGCCAGUGAUUCUCAAUUCUAAUUAAUUAGGUAGAAAAAAGGGUGUUUUCCUGCAUUACCCUGGAGGUUGGUGUGUCAUUUGGCACCAGAUGUUGUCAUUUAUUACUUUAUUGUAUUGGUGCCUUUUUAACAGCUUUCUUUUCAGUGAUAUAGGCUUCCUUCAUCUUCU